GUGAAAAACUCAUUCAUGAACAUCUUUGCUCCUAUGAAGCUUGCAGUUUCAGGGGAGCUUUGUGAGUGCUGAGAGAUGGCCGGUGCUGAAGAAUAGUUGCUGCUCAUACAGAGGACUGAGUGGAGCUUGCAAAUGAAGGCAGUGCCAUCACUUUCUACAGCUGUCCUUGACUGAGGAGUUCAACCUUUGCAUGCUGUCAAUGAGCUGACGGGUCCAAAGUGGCCAGAGAAACGGCUGAGAGAGCAGAGACACUUGCUGCCAAGCCUGACAUGGUUCAACCUCCAGCACCCACGUUGAAAGACGUCCUCUUGACCUGUCCAAAAGUCCUGUGGCAUGCCACAUACAUAUGUACAUAAUACACACAUAUAUACAUACAUGUAAUAAAAAAUUCCAAACAAGC